rnacentral:rRNA from 1 species
AGAGUUUGAUCCUGGCUCAGAACGAACGCUGGCGGCAGGCUUAACACAUGCAAGUCGAACGCGUGUAGCAAUACACGAGUGGCGCACGGGUGAGUAAUACAUCGGAACGUACCCAGAAGUGGGGGAUAACGUAGCGAAAGUUACGCUAAUACCGCAUACGUUCUACGGAAGAAAGUGGGGGACCUUCGGGCCUCAUGCUUUUGGAGCGGCCGAUGUCUGAUUAGCUAGUUGGUGAGGUAAAGGCUCACCAAGGCGACGAUCAGUAGCUGGUCUGAGAGGACGACCAGCCACACUGGGACUGAGACACGGCCCAGACUCCUACGGGAGGCAGCAGUGGGGAAUUUUGGACAAUGGGCGCAAGCCUGAUCCAGCAAUGCCGCGUGAGUGAAGAAGGCCUUCGGGUUGUAAAGCUCUUUUGUCAGGGAAGAAACGGCUGAGGUUAAUACCUUUGGCUAAUGACGGUACCUGAAGAAUAAGCACCGGCUAACUACGUGCCAGCAGCCGCGGUAAUACGUAGGGUGCAAGCGUUAAUCGGAAUUACUGGGCGUAAAGCGUGCGCAGGCGGUUUGUAAGUCUGACAUGAAAUCCCCGGGCUUAACCUGGGAAUUGCGUUGGAGACUGCAAGGCUGGAGUCUGGCAGAGGGGGGUAGAAUUCCACGUGUAGCAGUGAAAUGCGUAGAGAUGUGGAGGAACACCGAUGGCGAAGGCAGCCCCCUGGGUCAAGACUGACGCUCAUGCACGAAAGCGUGGGGAGCAAACAGGAUUAGAUACCCUGGUAGUCCACGCCCUAAACGAUGUCUACUAGUUGUCGGGUCUUAAUUGACUUGGUAACGCAGCUAACGCGUGAAGUAGACCGCCUGGGGAGUACGGUCGCAAGAUUAAAACUCAAAGGAAUUGACGGGGACCCGCACAAGCGGUGGAUGAUGUGGAUUAAUUCGAUGCAACGCGAAAAACCUUACCUACCCUUGACAUGUCAGGAACCCUCGAGAGAUUGAGGGGUGUCCGAAAGGGAGCCUGAACACAGGUGCUGCAUGGCUGUUGUCAGCUCGUGUCGUGAGAUGUUGGGUUAAGUCCCGCAACGAGCGCAACCCUUGUCAUUAGUUGCUACGAAAGGGCACUCUAAUGAGACUGCCGGUGACAAACCGGAGGAAGGUGGGGAUGACGUCAAGUCCUCAUGGCCCUUAUGGGUAGGGCUUCACACGUCAUACAAUGGUACAUACAGAGGGCCGCCAACCCGCGAGGGGGAGCUAAUCCCAGAAAGUGUAUCGUAGUCCGGAUCGCAGUCUGCAACUCGACUGCGUGAAGUUGGAAUCGCUAGUAAUCGCGGAUCAGCAUGCCGCGGUGAAUACGUUCCCGGGUCUUGUACACACCGCCCGUCACACCAUGGGAGCGGGUUUUACCUGAAGUAGGUAGCUUAACCGUAAGGAGGGCGCUUACCACGGUAGGAUUCGUGACUGGGGUGAAGUCGUAACAAGGUAACC